rnacentral:rRNA from 1 species
GAUGAACGCUGGCGGCGUGCCUAAUACAUGCAAGUCGAGCGAACGGGCGAGAAGCUUGCUUCUCUGAUGUUAGCGGCGGACGGGUGAGUAACACGUGGAUAACCUACCUAUAAGACUGGGAUAACUUCGGGAAACCGGAGCUAAUACCGGAUAAUAUUUUGAACCGCAUGGUUCAAAAGUGAAAGACGGUCUUGCUGUCACUUAUAGAUGGAUCCGCGCUGCAUUAGCUAGUUGGUAAGGUAACGGCUUACCAAGGCAACGAUGCAUAGCCGACCUGAGAGGGUGAUCAGCCACACUGGAACUGAGACACGGUCCAGACUCCUACGGGAGGCAGCAGUAGGGAAUCUUCCGCAAUGGGCGAAAGCCUGACGGAGCAACGCCGCGUGAGUGAUGAAGGUCUUCGGAUCGUAAAACUCUGUUAUUAGGGAAGAACAUAUGUGUAAGUAACUGUGCACAUCUUGACGGUACCUAAUCAGAAAGCCACGGCUAACUACGUG